rnacentral:rRNA from 1 species
GCUAAGGUAGCAUAAUCAAUAGCCUCUUAAUUAGAGACUUGGAUGAAUGGCUGAAUGAGAGGGUAGCUGUUUUUUCUUUAUUUAUAGAACUAAACUUUUAAGUGAAAAGGCUUAAAUUAUUUAGGGGGACGAUAAGACCCUAUAAAACUUAAUAUANAUUGUUUAUAGGUAGAAAAUUUUAAAAUAAAUUGUUUAUAACAGAGUUUAUUUCAUUGGGGUGAUGAUAAUAUAAAUAAUAACUGUUAAAUAAAUAUAAUAGAUAUAACUAGGUAGUGAUCCUUCAUUGAGGAUUAAAAGAAUAAGUUACUUUAGGGAUAACAGCGUAAUUUUUUCUGAGAGUUCUUAUCGAUGAAAAUGGUUGCGACCUCGAUGUUGAAUUAAAAUUUCGAUUGGGUGUAGCCGCUCAAUAAGUAAGUCUGUUCGACUUUUGAUAUU